UACGAAGGGGGCUAGCGUUGCUCGGAAUCACUGGGCGUAAAGCGCACGUAGGCGGCUUCUUAAGUCAGGGGUGAAAUCCUGGAGCUCAACUCCAGAACUGCCUUUGAUACUGAGAAGCUUGAGUCCGGGAGGGGUGAGUGGAACUGCGAGUGUAGAGGUGAAAUUCGUAGAUAUUCGCAAGAACACCAGUGGCGAAGGCGGCUCACUGGCCCGGUACUGACGCUGAGGUGCGAAAGCGUGGGGAGCAAACAGG
rnacentral:rRNA from 1 species